rnacentral:rRNA from 1 species
AUUGAACGCUGGCGGCAGGCCUAACACAUGCAAGUCGAACGGUAACAGGAAGAAGCUUGCUUCUUUGCUGACGAGUGGAGGACGGGUGAGUAAUGUCUGGGAAACUGCCUGAUGGAGGGGGAUAACUACUGGAAACGGUAGCUAAUACCGCAUAACGUCGCAAGACCAAAGAGGGGGACCUUCGGGCCUCUUUCCAUCGGAAGUGCCCAGAUGGGAUUAGCUAGUAGGGGGGGUAACGGCCCACCUAGGCGACGAUCCCUAACUGGUCUGAUAGGAUAACCAGCCACACUGGAACUGGGACACGGGCCAGACACCUACGGGGGGCCGCAGUGGGGAAUAUUGGCCAAUGGGCACAAACCUAGUGCAGCCGUGCCGCGUGAAUGAAGAAGGCCUUCCGGUUGUAAAGUACUUUCAGCGGGGAGGAAGGGAGUAAAGUUAAUACCUUUGCUGAUUGACGUUACCCGCAGAAGAAGCACCGGCUAACUCCGUG